rnacentral:rRNA from 1 species
UACGUAGGUGGCAAGCGUUGUCCGGAUUUACUGGGCGUAAAGCGCGUGUAGGCGGCUUGUUAAGUCUGUCGUGAAAUCUCCCGGCUUAACCGGGAUAGGUCGACGGAUACUGGCAGGCUUGAGGGGAGCAGAGGAAGGUGGAAUUCCCGGUGUAGUGGUGAAAUGCGUAGAUAUCGGGAGGAACACCAGUGGCGAAGGCGGCCUUCUGGGCUCAACCUGACGCUGAUACGCGAAAGCGUGGGGAGCGAACAGG